AUACUUACCUGGCGAUCACCAAGGUGGUUUUCCCAGGUCAGUCCUUCGCACUCCACAUGUGCUGACUCCUGCAAUUCCCCAGACGUGGGAAGUUCGCCUGCAUAAUUUGUGGUAGUAGGGGACUGUGUUCACGUGUUCCCCUG
ensembl:snRNA U1 U1 spliceosomal RNA